UGGGCAAUCUGCCCCUAGCACUGGGAUAACCCCGGGAAACCGGGGCUAAUACCGGAUAUGACCUCGCAAGGCAUCCUGUGAGGUGGAAAGAUUUAUCGGCUAGGGAUGAGCCCGCGGCCUAUCAGCUAGUUGGUGAGGUAACGGCUCACCAAGGCAACGAUGCGUAGCCGACCUGAGAGGGUGAUCGGCCACAUUGGAACUGAGACACGGUCCAGACUCCGUACGGGAGGNAG
rnacentral:rRNA from 1 species